CUGCCGCCCACUGAGGUUUCCCCUCUGGGUUUCAAGUUCCACUCAAGACAAAAGCAGAUGUUUGAUGUCUGGCAGAGGAGAUGAAGGACCUCCAGAAACAUUCAGUCCUGCACUGUGGGUGCUGCAGCCUGCUGCUAAAGGAGCUGCUCAGAGCUCCCAGUGUCAUGCAGAGAUGUUGUCCAUGAUGGAUGUCAGCUUUGCCAGCAUGCUUCUCUCACCCACCUCCUCAUUGAGGUCCAGACGCUGGUCCAGGACAGCGUUGGCUCUCCUAGCAGCUUCUUUGGCUUCUUUCAGUUUGGCUCAGAGUGUGGUUGCCACAACCCCAGCAGACCACAGCAUAAAACACUGCAGCUGCCACCACAUUGUCAUAGAAGUUGACACACUCCAUAGGGUCUCAGUAGAUGGAGGCACCUUUGACCCUUCUUGUGCAGGGCAGCAUUAGCACAUCCAUGGGAUAUCUUCUUUUAACAGGCGACCACAAGGUGUGAAGGUUUUAGCAGUUUUUAAUCAAAUAUUUGUUUUGAAUUUCCACAACAGAAUGACUUCAAAAGUACCAGGAACAUUUUAGAUCUAAUUUUCUUGCUGUCAGGUUCCAGUUUCAGUCUUAAAUGUUUUUAAGAAAUUGAAGUUUAUUGAUCUUUGAGAGAGUGUAGCUACUUGCAUUAUUAGUUGAAAAUGGUCUCCAAACGCCAAUAUUAUCGUUUAUCGCUAUAAUUUCUGGGACAAUUUAUCAUCCAGCAAAAUUUAUGGUGACAGGCCUAUAAUUAAGAUUGUCAGUUUGCAGUUCAUCUACAAGAAACACGUGUUGCAAAAAAAAACCACGCUAAUCAUUUGGAGCAAGGAAUAUGCAUAUGUCUAUAAAAUCACAUUUGAUGACUGAAAUUCGUCAUUUUCAGACACAAUUAUUUAAAGGUGAAUAAUUCACUUAUGAAUAAGGUCUGAUAAGCAACUUAAAUGUGAUGCUCAGACAUUGAAACUAAAGGUCGAAAGUCCCAUUGUGUAUUCAGCUCUCCUGUAGUAGUGUCUUUAACAUUCUCUUCAUUAGUGGGAUUUCAGAAAAAAAUAAACCAGAGCAUAAAACUCUUGUA